GACGAACGCUGGCGGCGUGCUUAACACAUGCAAGUCGAACGGAAAGGCCUCAGCUUGCUGGGGUACUCGAGUGGCGAACGGGUGAGUAACACGUGGGUGAUCUGCCUUGCACUCUGGGAUAAGCCUGGGAAACUGGGUCUAAUACCGGAUAUGAACUGCCUUUAGUGUGGUGGUUGGAAAGUUUUUUCGGUGCAAGAUGAGCUCGCGGCCUAUCAGCUUGUUGGUGGGGUAAUGGCCUACCAAGGCGUCGACGGGUAGCCGGCCUGAGAGGGUGUACGGCCACAUUGGGACUGAGAUACGGCCCAGACUCCUACGGGAGGCAGCAGUGGGGAAUAUUGCACAAUGGGCGGUAGCCUGAUGCAGCGACGCCGCGUGGGGGAUGACGGCCUUCGGGUUGUAAACUCCUUUCGACAGGGACGAAGCUUUUUGUGACGGUACCUGUAUAAGAAGCACCGGCUAACUACGUG
rnacentral:rRNA from 1 species